rnacentral:rRNA from 1 species
UACAGAGGUCUCAAGCGUUGUUCGGAUUCAUUGGGCGUAAAGGGUGCGUAGGCGGCGCGGUAAGUCGGGUGUGAAAUCUCGGAGCUUAACUCCGAAACUGCAUUCGAUACUGCCGUGCUUGAGGACUGGAGAGGAGACUGGAAUUUACGGUGUAGCGGUGAAAUGCGUAGAUAUCGUAAGGAAGACCAGUGGCGAAGGCGGGUCUCUGGACAGUUCCUGACGCUGAAGCACGAAGGCCAGGGGAGCAAACGGG